GACGAACGCUGGCGGCGUGCCUAAUACAUGCAAGUAGAACGCUGAAGGAGGAGCUUGCUCUUCUGGAUGAGUUGCGAACGGGUGAGUAACGCGUAGGUAACCUGCCUGGUAGCGGGGGAUAACUAUUGGAAACGAUAGCUAAUACCGCAUAACAGUAGAUGUUGCAUGACAUUUACUUAAAAGGUGCAAUUGCAUCACUACCAGAUGGUCCUGCGUUGUAUUAGCUAGUUGGUGGGGUAACGGCUCACCAAGGCGACGAUACAUAGCCGACCUGAGAGGGUGAUCGGCCACACUGGGACUGAGACACGGCCCAGACUCCUACGGGAGGCAGCAGUAGGGAAUCUUCGGCAAUGGACGGAAGUCUGACCGAGCAACGCCGCGUGAGUGAAGAAGGUUUUCGGAUCGUAAAGCUCUGUUGUAAGAGAAGAACGAGUGUGAGAGUGGAAAGUUCACACUGUGACGGUAUCUUACCAGAAAGGGACGGCUAACUACGUG
rnacentral:rRNA from 1 species